GAUGAAGAACGCAGCGAAAUGCGAUAAGUAGUGUGAAUUGCAGAAUUCAGUGAAUCAUCGAAUCUUUGAACGCACAUUGCGCCCCUUGGUAUCCCGAGGGGCAUGCCUGUUCGAGCGUCAUUUCACCACUCAAGCCUGGCUUGGUGUUGGGCGACGUCCUCUUUGGGGACGCGCCUCGAAACGCUCGGCGGCGUGGCACCGGCUUUAAGCGUAGCAGAAUCUUUCGCUUUGGAAGUCGGGGCCCCGUCUGCCGGAAGACCUGCUCGCAAGGUUGACCUCAAAUCAGGUAGGACUACCCGCUGAACUUAAGCAUAUCAAUAAGCGGAGGA
rnacentral:misc_RNA from 1 species